rnacentral:tRNA from 1 species
UUCCAGGUGACUCAGUGGUAAAGAAUCUGUCUGCAAUGCAGGAAACCCAGGUUUGAUCCUGGGUCAGGAAG